rnacentral:lncRNA from 1 species
AUCAAAGUUUGAUUGAGGGGAUCAAGUGUGAUUGUAUCACUGUUAACUUGAUCUUCAAUUGAGAUUCUCUCCACACCUUGUUGAAGUUUCUGCUACUGAUGUGUCUGCAAUUGCUGUUGCUCGAAUUGCUGCUGAUGUUGUGGAUGUUAGCUGCUGUGCAUUGCUUGUCUGCUUCUAUUAUCUGAACAGGACUCAGGAGACUUGGCUAGCUGCAGGUUUAGCAACUCGUUUGAGUUGGCUGCACACCUUGUUGAAGUUUUCGCUUCUGUUGCUUGAGUUGCUGCUCUUGUGCUUUGCUUCGAGCAGCUUCUGCUGUAGAUGUUAGCAAUUCGUUCGAGCAUUGCAUGUCCGAAAUCAAUGGUCUUU